AUGAAACUCAGGCUCGUGCACGAGGGGAUCCCAUGCUUUUAUUUUCUCUCUCUUUGUACGUAUACACGCUUUCCCAGUCGGAAUAUUAUCGCUUUUUUUUUAGAAAAAUGGCAUAAAAAUUGAUUUUAAACAGCGGUUGACAUGCUUCGAAGUACGGUAAUGGAAUAUUUAGAAAAUUUUUGUCACGAAAUGCGUCGUGCGCGUGACCCUUAUUUACACUUCGGAUAGUGUCUAUUUUGAACCAAACCAACAUUUGUUAUUGAAGUAGCAGUCCUGGGAGUGCAUUCUGACGAAGAACACCAAAGGGAUUCUCUGCCUCUAACCCUAUUACAGGGGCUGAGUCACUGGCUUACCGGUGCUCUUCCAUGCCAUCCCUAGGAGGGGUGCGUCACUUGAGUGGGUUGAGUCACUGACGUGGUCUUCCUGUCUGGGUUGCCCCCCCCCCCCUUGGGUUGUGCCGUGGCGGAGAUCUUUGUGGGCUAUACUCGGCCUUGUCUCAGGAUGGACCUGAGCCCUAGGACCAUGCCUCAGGACUACCUGGCAUGAUGACUCCUUGUUGUCCCCAGUCCACCUGGCCGUGCUGCUGCUCCAGUUUCAACUGUUCUGCCUGCGGCUAUGGAACCCUGACCUGUUCACUGUGAUUACUAUUAUUUGACCAUGCUGGUCAUUUAUGAACAUUUGAACAUCUUGGCCAUGUUCUGUUAUAAUCUCCACCUGGCACAGCCAGAAGAGGACUGGCCACCCCUCAUAGCCUGGUUCCUCUCUAGGUUUCUUCCUAGGUUUUGGCCUUUCUCGGGAGUUUUUUCCUAGCCACCCUGCUUCUACACCUGCAUUGUUUGCUGUUUGGGGUUUUAGGCUGGGUUUCUGUACAGCACUUUGAUAUAUCAACUGAUGUAAGAAGGGCUAUAUAAAUACAUUUGAUUUGAACUCCUAGCCAUGAGCAGUGGCAUUGUAGCCAUGGCAGUCCUUUACCUCUGUCUCUACCUGUCUCUAAUGAUGCGGACGACUGUGCUGGAAUACAGCAGGGGGGAACUGGGUCUCUCCUAACGAGGACUUUCUCAGAGAGAGGGUGGUCAGAGAUGGGAGGGCCAGGGAGGUCAAACAACACCACAGCAAGAGAGACAUUCCUCAUUCUAGCCCUCCAAACGAGCUAAUAACUGUGAUUAGCUGAUGCUACAGAAACCACUGAGGAGAGGGAGUCUUGGUGGCCCUGCUGGUUCCAUGGUGAAUGUCCUACAUCAAAUGUAAGCAGAAGAGGGGGUGUGUUAAUAGGAUUAUUGCCACAGCUGUGAUGCAGUCAAAGGAAAGAGGCGUAGCCAGAAGAAUUGACAAGUUCAAAUGGUAUACCAGUCAAUUGCUACAGACCAUACAGUGUAAAGACCUCCUGUACUCACAGAUGGAUUGUGGUAGCGACUGGCCUGCUGUUUGCUCUAUGGCCACCCCUCUGUUGUUGAGGUGGAUAGGAGUAUUUAUUGACCACCUGUCACCCCACCACUCCCCCUCAGCAGACCCCUUAAUAAACACUUCAGGGGCCCAGGGCUGGUGGUCAUGAAACCAAAGGAUUAAGACCUUGUCUUUGCCAGACACCGACCUCAGAUGAAUAGGACCAGACUGUUGAAAUGAAAUGUUUAUGGUGGUGGACAGUCUUGGUUGUAGAUUUUACUUUUCUUUCUGACAUGCGUUUGUAUUUUUUUCAUAAUCCAUUUAGACAAAUCCAUUUAGAAUUUUCAGUCUUCCCAUACAUUGUGUAACAGUUUGUUGGAGAGGGGUAGCUUUCUCACUUUACCUGUGAUGAAUCAGUCAUUUUAACAGGUAACAGCCUGGAAAAUGUUCUUGACGUACUUCGAUGUGAUUUGAUGUAUAUCCUCUCACUGAAUAGAUGUACGCAAGUAUUGCCAGUUAUUAAAUUCAUUAAUUGACUACAUUUUAAUUGCCAGUCAUGGAGAUUGAUUUCGGUACGUAUAAACUUGACUUUUCAAUAUUUGGG
rnacentral:lncRNA from 1 species